GCCCCAGUGGCCUAAUGGAUAGGGUCUAAUGGAUAAGGCACUGGCCUCCUAAGCCAGGGAUUGUGGGUUCAAGUCCCAUCUGGGGUG